GACGCUUUGCCGCAGUGGUUACCGGGUUUGCCUGCUAUCUAGUAGUGAAGCAAAUGUGCUUUGCACACGUGCGUUCGAAUCGCACAGGCGUCG
rnacentral:tRNA from 1 species